GCAGUCGAGCGGAUGANGAAGAAGCUUGCUUCUUCUGAUUUUAGCGNCNNNNNNGUGAGUAACACGUGGGCAACCUACCUUGUAGAUUGGGANAACUCCGGGAAACCGGGGCUAAUACCGAAUAAUCCAUUUUGCUUCAUGGCGAUAUGUUAAAAGGCGGCGAUCUCGCUGUCACUGCAAGAUGGGCCCGCGGCGCAUUAGCUAGUUGGUAAGGUAACGGCUUACCAAGGCGACGAUGCGUAGCCGACCUGAGAGGGUGAUCGGCCACACUGGGACUGAGACACGGCCCAGACUCCUACGGGAGGCAGCAGUAGGGAAUCUUCCACAAUGGACGAAAGUCUGAUGGAGCAACGCCGCGUGAGUGAAGAAGGUUUUCGGAUCGUAAAACUCUGUUGUAAGGGAAGAACACGUACGAGAGUAACUGCUCGUACCUUGACGGUACCUUAUUAGAAAGCCACGGCUAACUACGUGCCAGCAGCCGCGGUAAUACGUAGGUGGCAAGCGUUGUCCGGAAUUAUUGNGCGUAAAGCGCGCGCAGGCGGUCCUUUAAGUCUGAUGUGAAAGCCCACGGCUCAACCGUGNNGGGUCAUUGGAAACUGGGGGACUUGAGUACAGAAGANGAAAGCGGAAUUCCAAGUGUAGCGGUGAAAUGCGUAGAGAUUUGGNGGAACACCAGNGNCGAANGNGGCUUUCUGGUCUGUAACUGACGCU
rnacentral:rRNA from 1 species